rnacentral:tmRNA from 1 species
GGGGGCGAAUUGGAUUCGACCGGACGAUAUGAGGCGUCGGUGGCGUGCCCAGGUUCCAAGGAGGCCUGGUAAAACACCUUGGAAAACUUUUAUAUGCCAAUCAACCGAUGGCAAUGGCUGCAUAAUCAUGCAACCCGUCGCCCGGAGCUUGCCCGCGGGCUCUGACGCGACGACAAACAGCGGGCUUACCGAUCGGAAGUUGUCUGGUUAACCGAUUGGAAAAUUCCGUCAGACUGGCCGAACCGUACCGUGUCGCAGGCGGGCCGGCGAAGC